rnacentral:lncRNA from 1 species
CUUGAACUGUUCCUCGCCCAUUCUUACUUUUUUGACAAUCUGUCGUGAGGAUUAUAUUUUGUAAAAAGUUGUAUUUAGAGGAUUUAUAAAGCUUGAAAUAUAUUACAAUUGUCGGAUAAUUAUUGUUGUACUUCUGAAUAUACCUGGUUUUAGAAAGAUGCCUUCAUGAAGUAUUGGGAAAAUUAUUUGAAUAAAUUUCGGGAAAAUGCUUAUUACGUCUUCAGCAUUCAAGGGUUUUACUUUCACCGAGGAUUUAAGGACAAAACAUGAUCAAAUAAGUAGAAUAUUCUUUAAUCAGAUAUGAUAUAAUUUUAUGAUCUUCCUUUUAUGGUCGUAUUUUCUAGAUUCUGGUUUCUCUAUUAUACGAUAUGUGAAAUCAAUUGUGUUGAGGUACUUUGAUGUUUUUAACAUUCAGGAAUUGGAUUUUUAAAUUCUGAUGCCCAAGGAAUUAUUUUAAUAAAUGAAGCCUUUGUUUGACACCCAUUAUAAAGAGAAAUUGUGGUAAAAUGUAUUAUGAAAUAGUAUUUUUGGGAAGAAUAUGUGGUUAAAAAAGAAGGAAAUUUUUUUUAUUUACAUAUAAUAUUAUUUUAUUAAAGAAUGUGUGGUUGAAAAGAAGAGAGAGAAAUGUAUUAAAAUUUUAAUGGGUGUCAAACAAGGGCGAUUCGGU